GACGAACGCUGGCGGCGUGCUUAACACAUGCAAGUCGAACGGAAAGGCCCUGCUUGCAGGGUACUCGAGUGGCGAACGGGUGAGUAACACGUGGGUGAUCUGCCCUGCACUUCGGGAUAAGCCUGGGAAACUGGGUCUAAUACCGGAUAGGAGCCAUUUUUAGUGUGAUGGUUGGAAAGUUUUUUCGGUGUAGGAUGAGCUCGCGGCCUAUCAGCUUGUUGGUGGGGUAAUGGCCUACCAAGGCGGCGACGGGUAGCCGGCCUGAGAGGGUGGACGGCCACAUUGGGACUGAGAUACGGCCCAGACUCCUACGGGAGGCAGCAGUGGGGAAUAUUGCACAAUGGGCGCAAGCCUGAUGCAGCGACGCCGCGUGGGGGAUGACGGCCUUCGGGUUGUAAACUCCUCUCGCUAGGGACGAAGCUUUUUGUGACGGUACCUAGAUAAGAAGCACCGGCUAACUACGUG
rnacentral:rRNA from 1 species